GACCGGAAGCGGAAGUGGCUGCAUCGCCGACGCUAGGGUUUCGGGUCCCGAGCCCAGAGAUGGGUUCCAAGGCCAAGAAGCGCGUGCUGCUGCCCACCCGCCCAGCGCCCCCCACGGUGGAGCAGAUCCUGGAGGAUGUGCGGGGUGCGCCAGCAGAGGAUCCAGUGUUCACCAUCCUGGCCUCGGAAGGGGAGGAGGCCAGGCGCUGUGGUUCAGGCCUGUAAGCCCAGCACUUUCGGAGGAUCGCUUGAGCCCAGGAGUUUGAGACCAGCCUGGCCAACAUGGUGAAACCCCGUCUCUGCUAGAAAUGCAAAAAAAAAACAAAAAACAAA
rnacentral:sRNA from 1 species